rnacentral:rRNA from 1 species
UUAGGAAUUUUGGGCAAUGGGCGCAAGCCUGACCCAGCAACGCCGCGUGGGUGACGAAGGCCUUCGGGUUGUAAAGCCCUUUUCUGAGGGAAGAUGAUGACGGUACCUCAGGAAGAAGCACCGGCUAACUACGUGCCAGCAGCCGCGGUAAUACGUAGGGUGCGAGCGUUGCCCGGAUUUAUUGGGCGUAAAGGGCGCGUAGGCGGCCACGCACGUCCGUUGUGAAAUCGCUCGGCUCAACUGGGCGGGGUCAGCGGAUACGGUGUGGCUGGAGCAAGCUAGGGGGCAAUGGAAUUCCCGGUGUAGUGGUGGAAUGCGUAGAUAUCGGGAGGAACACCAGUGGCGAAGGCGGUUGCCUGGAGCUUUGCUGACGCUGAGGCGCGAAAGCGUGGGGAGCGAUCCGGAUUAGAUACCCGCGUAGUCC